rnacentral:lncRNA from 1 species
ACGGUAUGCAAAUUUAGCUGGUAAAAAAAAAACAGCAGAGUGUAUGUGCCUCUCUGGAAGAGCAUAAUUGCCUCCAAAGCAUGUUCAUGCCGUUCAUGGCGAGUCGCAAAGAAAAGUUCCAAAGGCGGCUGGAGAAUCUAAGGCAACACCACGAAGAGUGUGAAAGAAGACAUGACGAAUAUAUCAAUAAAAUGAACGAAGAGCAUCGAACUACAAUUCAGGGUUUGCAGGCUAUGAGGACAAAGGAGAUGGAGACUAAUAAGGAAUGUAGUGCAGCUGAGGAGUCACUUGAAAGUGGCUCAGAAUAUUGCCCGUCCAACAGUGACUGCGACAGUGAUGAUCCCGAUCCAGAUUUGAAACCUGACAGCACAAAUGGUGAAAAUUUACAGGCAAAAGAUGAUACUGUUGGAAUUUCAGAUGCUAACCUAAGAAGUGUGAGUGUGAGGAAAGAGCAAGGGUCCCCUGCUGAGUCAGAUGAGCCCGAUACUGAGGAUGAGCCUUCUGUAAAGGACAAAACCACUAAAAAGAAAAGAAAAAGUCCAAAAGUCAGUAGAGCAGGUAAGUUUUAAUGUUGUAACAAUUUGUAUUGUACCUACCGUAUUUUUCGCACUAUAAGACACACUUAUUUCACUUAAUCAGUCAUUCUUUUAUGGUCUAUUACUAUAGAUUUGUACUGUAUGGGAUUACAUGAUUUAAAUUGCAUCCACGAUUAUGAUGUAUUUGAGCAAAAUUGUGUCUAUAAAGAUCUAAACUGCAAGCAUUUUUUGCCAUGUCAGCUGAAACAUAAAAAUCAUAACAAAAAAUUCUCAUUGAUGCAUCUGAAUAUUAGGAGUCUAAGUAAACAUCAUGAUGACCUAGACUCCCUUUUAAAAAUUAUAGGUCAAAAUUUUAAGGUUAUUGGCUGUAGUGAAACUUGGUUAAAUGAAGGAACAUAUGUAGACAUUCUCAAACUUGAUGGAUAUAGGUUAUAUAACAAAAAUCGACUUGGUCGAUCAGGAGGGGGAGUCUGUAUGUAUGUAGCCACUGAACUUUCAGCUACUAUUCGUGAUGACCUCAUCAUUGAGGAUAGUCACUCUGAUUCUCUAUUUUUGGAGAUUGAUGUAAAAAAUAACAAAAAUCUUAU